rnacentral:misc_RNA from 1 species
AUAGUUUAGGAAAUUUACCACAUGGCUAUGCUAGCAGAACCACGUAACAAACGCAAAAUUUCGAUUAACCCAAAUGGAAAUGCAUGGAGUAACGAUACCACUAAAUUUGGCCAGAAGUUAAUGAAAAAGUUUGGUUGGAGUGAAGGAAAAGGUCUUGGAGUAAAGGAGGAUGGAAUUUCGGAUCACAUCAAAGUUGACUAUAAAUUUGGAAAUAAAGGUGUAGGGUAUAAGAAAGAUCAGGGUGACAACUGGAUAGCCCAUCAGGAUGACUUCAAUGCCAUACUGGCCAACCUGAAUGAAGGAAACUCAGAACAGCAGGCCUCUGUGUCUAGUAUUGAGUCAGCGUCCAAAAAAUCACGCAGCCGAGUCCACUACCAGAAGUUUGUUCAGGGAAAAGACUUGUCAAACCGAUCAGCCACCGAUUUAGACUCCAUAUUUGGUGUACGCAAAGAGAAGAAAAAAAGCAAACAGAAAGAAGAGGAAGAGGAAGCACCUAGCGAGAAAGAAGUCGAGGCUGACAGUGGGUCUUUGGUAACCUAUAACAGCAAACAAAGUUUACAAGAAUACUUUGCCCAAAAAAUGGCAGAAAAACGAAGAGGAAGUCAACCUAUCCCAACUUCUGUAGAAUCCAUCAAGGAGGAAGAGGCAAGUGAAAAUGGAUCAGCGUCAGAGAAAAAGAAAAAGAAAAGAAAGAAUAAAUUAGAGGAAACAAAAGAUGAGGAUAAAGAUGCAAGAGUGGGAUUUUAUCUAGAUGAUGAAUCUGAGAAGACAGUUAAAAAGAGGAUGAAAAGAAAUGCAUCUGAUGUGGAAGAAACCGCGGAUUCAUCUGUUGUUGAUAAGGAAUGUGUUAAAAAAUCAAAAAAGUUGAAAAAGAAAAAAAAGGAGAGAAAAGCUACUGAGGAUGAACCUUGCUCAGAGGAGAUGGCGGAAACUGUGGACAGUCCCUGUGUGAAAGAAAGUGACAAAACUCAGGAAAAAUACACGGAGGGAGAACAGCAAACAGAGGCAGAUGGGAAUGACUGUUUAACAGGCAAACUCUCAAAGAAACGGAAGUCUGAGAGCUGUGAAGACGUGCCAAAGAAGAAGAAAAAAAAGUCUAAAAAAGGCAAGAAAUUAUGAAACCCUGUAAUCCAUUGGCAGGUUAAGGAGACUUUGCAGAGACAUUCUUAUUAUUAAAGCUCACCCUAAAGUACACAUACAUUAACUUGUAUAUCAAGUCAUUCAUCAAUGAUUUCUUGAUCUGUACAAUGUAUUUUUAGAUCUAAAUGAUAUGUAAAUUCAGUUUUGAGAUGUAAAUUAUAACGUUACGGUUGACAAACUGAGAAUGAAACAAGAAAGCUAUAAAUAAUGUAAUGAUUGUAUCUUUUGUUACAGAAUUAAGUCUAAAUAUUAACAUGAAGUGGUUUUAUGCUGUUUGAAAUAUGAUUGUUAUGGAAUAAACUUGUAAUUUAU